GCCAGCAUGGUAUAGUGGUUUGAGUGUUGGAUUAUGACUCCAGAGACCAGGGUUUGAUUCUCAGCUUGGCC
rnacentral:tRNA from 1 species